rnacentral:lncRNA from 1 species
GGGGGGGUUUCCUUCACUUUCUCUCUGGAAGAACCCAGAAUCAGAUGAAGGGAUCACCGUCGCGCUGCCGUCAGACGCCGCCGGCCACCACGCACGGUGGCCGGAAAUUCCAAAAAAGGUAUUUUUAUUUUUAUUUUUAUUUUUAUUUUUUAUUUAUAAUAUAUAUGUUUUUUUAAAAGAUAAAAUGAAGAAAACUUGUGUAAAGAGAUUCGAAAAGAAAAGAAAUAAAAUAAAAAUAAAAAGAAAGAAAAGAAAAAAUAUAUAAAUAACAAUAACCUUUUUGUUUUUGUUUUUUGGUCUCUAAUCUGUUUUGUGGAUCUGUAGUUUAAUAUUCCUCUCUCUUUUUUAUUUUAUCUUUGUUGAAAACAGAAGCCGAAAAAGAAAGAACCCCUUCUAAUGGUCUCUUAGAUGGCUUUUUAUAGCCAUUUACAGCUUGUUUCUUUAAUAAUUAUUCAACUCUUUCUCUUUUGUAGGUAAACGGCGGUGGCAACAGUAGAGCAGGUGCGCCACUUGCGCUGGUGAUGCGACGUCGGCGGUGCUAGGGUGUCAGAAGAGUGGUCAGAGGUGGUAGCACUAAGGGCGGCAGCCACUUGGAUUAGGGGCUAGGGUUUGUUGUUUUCUGAAAAUAUUGUGGGCUAAGAUUUUGGUUUCGGGCCUGCAAAAUUUGGGCCUUGGGUUUAGGUUAAAUUUUAUGUAUUAUUGGGCCCGGGUCAAAAUUGGGAUGUACAAGAGUUAUAAUAUAUAUAGCAUUAUGACACG